GCUCAUUUCGUCCCUACAUGUACGAAUACUGGAAUGAUACAGAGAAGAUUAGCACAGCGCCUGUGCAAGGAUGACAGGCAAAUUUGUGAACCAUUCCAUGUUUUC